rnacentral:misc_RNA from 1 species
GGAAGUAAAAGUCGUAACAAGAUUUCCGUAGGUGAACCUGCGGAAGGAUCAUUAUUGUAUAACCGAGGUGCGAGGGCUGUCGCUGACCCGAAAGGUCGUGCACGCCCGAGUGCCCUCACACACAUCCAUCUCACCCCUAUGUGCACCACCGCGUGGGUCCCCCUUUGGCUUGUUCGGAGGGGGGCUUACGUUUUCACACAAACUUUGUAUGCAGUGUAGAAUGUAUCUUUUGUUUUUGCGAUCACGAAAUCAAUACAACUUUCAACAACGGAUCUCUUGGCUCUC